GGCUUAACUACCCGAGUAUGCGAAAGACGGUUUGACUUGAGGGCUCGAGAGGGACACGGAAUUCCGGGUGGAGUGGUGAAUGCGUAGAGAUCCGGAGGAACACCGAAGGCGAAGGCAGUGUCCUGGCGAGUGACUGACGCUGAGGUGCGAAAGCUAGGGGAGCGAACGGGAUUAGAUACCCCGGUAGUCCUAGCCGUAAACGAUGACCACCAGGUGUGGGAGGUAUCGACCCCUUCCGUGCCGGAGUAAACACACUAAGUGGUCCGCCUGGGGAGUACGGUCGCAAGAUUAAAACUCAAAGGAAUUGACGGGGACCCGCACAAGCAGCGGAGCGUGUGGUUUAAUUCGAUGCGACGCGAAGAACCUUACC
rnacentral:rRNA from 1 species